UACGGGGGGAGCAAGCGUUGUUCGGAUUUACUGGGCGUAAAGGGCGCGUAGGCGGUGUCGCAAGUCCGUGGUGAAAUCUCUAGGCUCAACUUAGAGACUGCCGCGGAAACUGCGGUGCUUGAGUGUGGGAGAGGUGCGUGGAAUUCCCGGUGUAGCGGUGAAAUGCGUAGAGAUGUGGAGGAACACCAGUGGCGAAGGCGGCCUUUCUGGUCUGUAACUGACGCUGGAGGCGCGAAAGCGUGGGGAGCAAACAGG
rnacentral:rRNA from 1 species